rnacentral:lncRNA from 1 species
CUCCUUGUUUUAUAUAUGUAAAUGUCUGAAAUAAAAGUACAAAGUUGUAACUAGUACAGUUGUAACUAUUCUGUAACUGAUGUUGAAUGUUUUCCUCUUUAGUCUCAUCUGACAGUGAGAAGUAUGAACAGUUCUUCUUGGGGAUGACUGGAUGCUGAGGAAAUCUGUGCUCUUUCAGAUCACUCUUCCCAGUUUACACUAGAUGAGGGACAGUGGUAACAUGCUGGAGCUCUGUGUGACUCAUCACUAUCACCUUGGGAAAACGUUUUGAAAGCGAUUUUGAAUUUGUUGUCAACCAGGAUCUCUACAGACCACGUGCACUAACCAGGCAGUUUUGUUUCAGAGGACUAAACUUCAGAAAUAAUUUCAAAUUGAUUUAUCGUUCCCAGGAAACUUUUAGAAGCUGAAACAAGCAAGGAAUUGGGUAAGCUUAAAAAAAAAAAAAACUUUCAGUUUUUCUAAGUCUAAAAAAUUCCCUCUUGAGUAUUAUCUACUUUAAAAAUUUUGUUUCUUAGUCAGAGUGUGACUAUUCAUUCAAGAUAAGCAGAAGUGACAUGCACCUCAACAAAGAGAAGAAAGGUAAUAUGAUGAUAUGAAUAGGUAUAUUAUGAUAUUAAAAGGUAAUAUGAUGAGUAUAAUGUACAGCCAGC